rnacentral:rRNA from 1 species
AUACGGAAGGUCCGGGCGUUAUCCGGAUUUAUUGGGUUUAAAGGGAGCGUAGGCCGGAGAUUAAGCGUGUUGUGAAAUGUAGAUGCUCAACAUCUGAACUGCAGCGCGAACUGGUUUCCUUGAGUACGCACAAAGUGGGCGGAAUUCGUGGUGUAGCGGUGAAAUGCUUAGAUAUCACGAAGAACUCCGAUUGCGAAGGCAGCUCACUGGAGCGCAACUGACGCUGAAGCUCGAAAGUGCGGGUAUCGAACAGGAUUAGAUACCCUGGUAGUCCGCACGGUAAACGAUGGAUGCCCGCUGUUGGUCUGAAUAGGUCAGCGGCCAAGCGAAAGCAUUAAGCAUCCCACCUGGGGAGUACGCCGGCAACGGUGAAACUCAAAGGAAUUGACGGGGGCCCGCACAAGCGGAGGGACAUGUGGUUUAAUUCGAUGAUACGCGAGGAACCUUACCCGGGCUUGAAUUGCAGAGGAAGGAUUUGGAGACAAUGACGCCCUUCGGGGCCUCUGUGAAGGUGCUGCAUGGUUGUCGUCAGCUCGUGCCGUGAGGUGUCGGCUUAAGUGCCAUAACGAGCGCAACCCCUCUCCUUAGUUGCCAUCAGGUGAAGCUGGGCACUCUGGGGACACUGCCACCGUAAGGUGUGAGGAAGGUGGGGAUGACGUCAAAUCAGCACGGCCCUUACGUCCGGGGCUACACACGUGUUACAAUGGCAGGUACAGAGAGACGGUCCCUUGCAAAACGGAUCAAAUCCUUAAAGCCUGUCUCAGUUCGGACUGGGGUCUGCAACCCGACCCCACGAAGCUGGAUUCGCUAGUAAUCGCGCAUCAGCCAUGGCGCGGUGAAUACGUUCCCGGGCCUUGUACACACCGCCCGUCAAGCCAUGAAAGCCGGGGGCGCCUAAAGUCCGUGACCGUAAGGAGCGGCCUAGGGCGAAACUGGUAAUUGGGGCU